GUCGAACGGUGACAGGCUCAGCUUGCUGAUGCUGACGAGUGGCGGACGGGUGAGUAACGCGUGGGAACAAAUGCCUAUUAGUUGGGGACAACCUGGUGGAAACGCAGGCUAAUACCGAAUAUGCACUGUGGUGUAAAGGUGGCCUCUCCUUGGAAGCUAUCGCUAAUAGAUUGGCCCGCGUUGGAUUAGCUAGUUGGUGGGGUAAAGGCCUACCAAGGCGACGAUCCAUAGCUGGUUUGAGAGGAUGAUCAGCCACACUGGGACUGAGACACGGCCCAGACUCCUACGGGAGACAGCAGUGGGGAAUAUUGGACAAUGGGCGCAAGCCUGAUCCAGCAAUGCCGCGUGUGUGAAGAAGGCCUGAGGGUUGUAAAGCACUUUCAAUUGUGAAGAAGGGUUUAAGUUUAAUAAGCUUGAACAUUGACGUUAACAAUAGAAGAAGCACCGGCUAACUCCGUGCCAGCAGCCGCGGUAAUACAGAGGGUGCAAGCGUUAAUCGGAAUUACUGGGCGUAAAGCGCGCGUAGGUGGUUUGAUAAGUUGGAUGUGAAAUCCCCGGGCUUAACCUGGGUCGGUCAUUCAAAAACUGUCAGACUAGAGUAUGGUAGAGGGGUUAGUGGAAUUUCUAGUGUAGGCGGUGAAAUGCGUAGAUAUUAGAAGGAACACCAGUGGCGAAGGCGACUGCCUGGACGGAUACUGACACUGAGGUGCGAAAGCGUGGGUAGCGAACAGGAUUAGAUACCCUGGUAGUCCACGCCGUAAACGAUGUCAACUAGACGUUGGGCUCCUUAGAGGGCUUAGUGUCGAAGCUAACGCGAUAAGUUGACCGCCCUGGGGAGUUACGGU
rnacentral:rRNA from 1 species